GACCAGCAGCUGGGGGUGAGUCUGCACUGGCACAUCAGCCUCAGCCCAUCCAGGCUCCUCAGAACUAAUGUGAGGGUCGAGAGGUGAGCACUGGGGUUUCAGGGACCAGCUCCUCUCUCUGUGUCAGUCCAGCAGAAGCAGGUCCACCUGUUUCACUUUUGGGUGAGCUGAUCUGUCAGUAUUUCAAGAAAUGCCAGGGCUAGGAAUCAUGGAGAAAGGAUUUUGUGAAAUCUGGUAUUUAAACCUCCCACUCGAGUGAUGCUGAGGAGAGCUGGCAACGUAGCAUUGGCUUAUCAGGAGCUGUGUGGGCAGGUCAGCUUAAGAAUAAUGUGUGAGCAGCACCAGAGGUGAAGGAAAGAAGCCAGUGUCUGGUCAGGUACAGAGUUUAAAUGGGGUCAGAAUUUCUUUUUAUUAAAAAGAUUGUUUUAUUUAAAUAAUAAAUGACAGUAGGAUCACCGUUGCCAGGGGCUGCUGAAGGGCAACCAGGCAGGUCUGAGCAAAGUAGGGACUAGAGGCUUUGAAUUAUUUUCUCUCAUUAAUAACUCUGAACUAAGCACUGCAAAUUCAUGCAAAAGUCAUCUCUGCUUUCAUGCAUGCAAACAGUUUGGUUUGUGGAUAGGUCUGCUGUGUUCAGAGGCUCAUUCCAUCUUUAAAAAAAAAAAAAAAUUGGCUUCUGAGCUGCACCUGUCAAUAAAAGUCCUGGAAAAUGAGUCCUGGCAGGCUUUUCCAAGGCCGUAUGUAACUUAUCUUGUCCAAUGAAAGUCUCUAAUUGGUGGUUUAAAGUAAUUAAAAAAAAGACUCCGUUAACGGUCAGUCUAUUUUUAGUUUAAAGGUUGGACUUUAUAUGGUCAUAAAGCAAAAUUCUUUGCUUAAUUAUGGGAAUUGAAAUACAUUGGCUUAACUGCACUAGGAACUGCACACAAGGGUGCAGAGAGGACACGCUUUACCAGUGAUUAUCUGCUGAUAAAAUACUACACAGAGCAACAAGUGGAGGCACUCCAGGCUCCAGAAAGCAUCCUGAGGCCAGAACUGCUGAGCUGGUGGGGAAGAGAUGGCAUCAAAUCCUCUGCAGAUGGUCAGGGUCCAUUCCCAGCAUGGCACUGGCUGCCUUGCCUUGUAUUUGUGGAGACUUGGAACUGGACGGGAUUAAAGGGGCGAUUUAUAACUAAGGGCUUGGUUGAGGAGUUGGUUUGUGUUCUGGAGAUGCCUCCAGAAGCUGGGCAAGCAGCUGUGGGAGGUUUGAAUGGCAGAGGAUUUGGUGGUGGGACAUACGGGCUCCUGAUGAGGAGGAGAUCCAUCUGCUCAUUUGCCUCUUGAGUGGACAAGUAGGUCCUGGAAGGUGUCAGAGUACUUGGGGCAAGCCUGGGGCUGUCGUUCCUGAAGCUGAGUUACCUGGGAAGCUAAAUUUGGGAACCUGGGAAGAAGAUAGAAUUUUGGACAUGGCGGUACCUCUUCCUGAAGUCCUAGGGUGUGCCUGGGAAAAGGAUGUGACGAGCAGGUGAAGUGAAGAGCCACAGCUUCACAGCAUGUGCUGGUUUUCACUUCAGCCAAGGUGUCCCUUGACUGGUGGCAUGGGAAGUGGGCAGGGGUUUGGGAGGAUGGACUGAACACAGCGCUGGUGGGAGGCUGAGGCUGUCGGGGCUGUUCUGUGUGGGGUACCUGGAGGUUGAGGGCAGAGUUGUGUGCACAGGAGGGACAACCAGCUGCCAGGCUGUGGGCUGGACUAAGGGAUGGGCACGUCUGUGUGGAAACACGAGACAAAAAUAGUUGUUGUAGACUGCUUGGUGGGGAAAAAAAACAUCUUGGCACGGCUGGUCUGAUUGAAACAUGGUGGGGGUGAUGAAAAUCAAUAAGAUACUGCAUUACCUGCCAUCACACUGUACUGAGCAGGUGUGCUGGGCCAUAAGGGAAGAACACUACAUCUAAAAUUUGCUGUAAAGUCUGAGAGGAAAUUGGAGUAGUGACGGCCAAACAGCCACAUGUAUGUUGGAUAUAAAUUCUAUAUUUUAAUGACAUGGAGGUACUAGGAAGUUUUCUAUUCCAGACAAGAAGGAAGUUGUGGAUUUCAUGGGGCUUGGAAGAAAACUAAGGCUCAUGCAUCUUCAUAAACCUGUAAGAAAAAGUAAAUUCCGUUAUGACCAUGCUAUCACAGAUUGUUUGGGAAGGAGCUGGCUAGCAUUUUGGUGAGCAAACAUCUCAAUUUACUUAAAGGAUCAUGUCUUGUAACAGCCUGGUCUACAGUAAGCCUUGCUUUAGGACUAAGACAUAAGAACUGGUUCAAGAUACAAUUACUGUUGAGUUGUUAAGUAGCAGGGACCACAGUAUAGGUUCAGUAUCCUCAGGAGUAGAAGGUGGUGGACUAAAAGAUUACUUGUGUUACAAAAUAUUGCAGGGGAGAAAAUCAGAAAAUAAUGUCCUUAGACUUGUCAAGGCAGCCCUGUAGAUACCUGGAAAGGUUACAGGCAUCCGGGUGAGACAGAACUCUGUCAUGAAGGAGCAAAGUAAAACAGUUGUUAAAAAUAUUUAUAAGAAAGGGACUAAGGACAGAAGUCCAGGUCUUGAGGAACAGACUGAAAGAACCAUGGAGUAGGGCAGCUAACCAUGAUCUGGAAAUAAAACAGUUUUGAAGGGGCUCUGCAGAGCAGGGGACCUGGAGGAGUGAAUCCUGUCUGAAGGACAUCAGAGAGAGGGCUGGGGAGAAAAUCUGGGCGUGCAGGACUGAAGACACAGUUCAUUUCCUGCACUAGUUCGUGCUGCUGAAGUGACUUCUCCAUGUCAUUCAGGAGCAAGUUUGAGGGCCUGCUCUCACCCAGUCCCUUUGGGUAGUAAAGAUAAGGAGCCUCCCUCUGAAACUCAAGUGUUUGAGGUAGAGAUGCUGGAGCAAAGUAGGAAAUUCAAGUGGAAGAGCAACAGGUUUUAAAAGAGCUUGGGAAUGAAACACCAAAGGUUCUAGCAAAAAUAGGGCUGUUAAAAAACAGCUUAGUAUUCUCCAUGGCUAGAUAACAUUCUAAUGUUGGCUUAUUUUUUUUUUUAAUUAAAGUAUUAAUGGGGGCACUGGGAAUUACAGAUCAGCACCCCUGAACUCUGGUUUGAGAAGGAGAAGCUGAAAUGCUGUAACUCUUCAGUGAGUGAGAGGUGGAAAGCAACACACUUUCUGCAAAGAAAGGGGUUGGACCAGGUGGUCUUUGAGGGUCCCUUCCAACCAAACCAUUCUUUGAUUCUGUGAUCAAUCUUGUUUUCUGGGCCAUCUACCAGAAUCUUUGGACACAUUGACAAAUAGCAGGAGGUGAAGAAUGAACUGAUCUUUAUUUGAGUGUUUUAAAAGGUUUUUAUCAAGUGCUUCCAAGAAGGCAUUAAAAAAUGUGCUUUUAAUGAAAAGAGAAAUAUCACAGAGUCCUUCUUUGGUUGCAGUUCAUGUUGAUCAAUUGUCUAGUCUGGUUGGAGAAGGUGAUCAAAGGCCUCCAAGUCUGCAUCUUCAGCCUCUGAGCAAAUGAGUUUCCUUCCAUGGUUUCAUUAAACCCAGAGUUGCUGGGUGGUGUAUGGUUGAUUUUCAUUAAACUUUUCUGGUGGACACAACUAGGUCCAGGCUGCAAUGUCUGGUUGGGCAAAGGGGAGAAACAAGCCCAGAAUACUGGGUAGCAUGGGAUCUGGAUUUGUCCUGUAAUGCAACACCCCCAGUUCAAAUUCCUGCCCUGAGCUGGACUUGCAGGUCUGCCAGAUCCCAGAGCGUGCCUCAGCAGCUGAUGUUGUGGGUAUGUUCUGUUUAGUUCUGUUUUGACCAAGAAAAAUCCUAAAAGGUUUUGGUUUUGAUGAUGGGCAGAAAGGGAAGGAGCAGGGAGAGAGGCCUGGACAGCAUCUUCCAGGUCUUUUCCUUGCAGGAGAGUUGUUGGUGUGUGUUCUCAUGCAGACCUGUGUUGCCUCCCUUCCCAAGAGACCCCAGAGGACCCACAGGUAGCUGGUCUCAGCCAGAGCCACCUUUUGUUGCUCUGGCUUAAUUUUAGUCUUCUUGAAAGUCUAGAAGCCAUGACAGAUACCCUGGCUUCUCCCACCUUCCCUGUCUCCAGUAGAUCAGGGUACUAGAGAGUGAGUGCUUUGACAAGUUGUUGGAGUUUGCAACAGGAGCAGGUUUACUGCAGGUACCACGAGGCUUUUGGUCAGAGUUCAUGUUUAAAGACAAGAACUGGCAGCUGAUGGAGCAGAGUGGUUGGGUUAUAUUGGAGAAGUGACUCCAGCCUGGCCAUGGCUGGAAAAUUAAGAAGAGCACGAUAAUGUCUGGCUGUGCUGUGAGCACACAGCAGUGGGGCUGAUCCUGGGAAAUGUGAGGCAGCAGGCAAGGGGGGGAAAGAAGCAAUUUUUAAUGCUCCACCAGUAUUGCUAGGCUGUAAGUGAGCUGCAAAAUUGAAGAAUAUCACACUCUGUUAGCAGAGCAAAUGAAGUGAAGGUGUGUAGCCUGCCACAGGAAUCCUGCCUAUCCCAGGUCUGUGAGGCUGCUGAGCUGAGCCUGUACCACAGCUCAUUAGACCCCCACGGUGUCCCUGUGCUGUUCCCCCUGGUCAUCUCGGGUGGUUGUCACCGGCACAACCUUUGUCCCUACUCUCUAGAAAUUCCUUAGAUUGCUCACUUCUAGUUAAAUUAUACCAGCUGACUUUGAAGUACUCAAUAUAAAACUGUCGUGGUAUUGCUUGCAUGAUAGUUAUUUGAUGUAAGAAAACAAUUUCUCGUGCUCUCUCUUUAGGAAUUUGGGCUUCGAGUUUUCAGUGGGGAGUGUUGUACGUGCCCAACUGCACAGGGUCGGGCCCACCUCUGUUUUAAAGCGUUAUUUCACAUCUGAGAUUAGAAAACAAACCAGAAGAUCAAGUUGUCACAGGCUCAGAUGAUCAUAGUGACUCGUGCUAAAGGCUCCGUCCUCGUAGAGACCUGCACGGCUGCUUUGUGUAACUGCUGUCAGAGCUCUGGCGUUUUGGUGAUAGUGUUUCCUCCUAAAUGUUCUGAGUAUACUCGCCUUUAAAUCCUGUUAGGUACUGAUAAUUAUCUGUUGGUAUUCUGUACAUUAGCUCUGUACUAGCAUUCACGUUGGACUAGGCUUAAUAUCGUGAGUGUCAAAGAUGACUUGAAAAAGGAAAACUUAAUUUAUACCCUUUCCCUGUGGUUCUACCCCGUGUAGCGGGCGGUUUGUAGAAAUACCAGGAGUGCUACAACUGUCUUCCCCCUUUUACUUGCUGUGAUUCUCUGCAGGAGAAAAUACAGAUUUAAAUCUAUUUUUCCAUUCUUUGGAGACGCUGAGAUAUUAUCAUGGUGAGGUCCAUGGAAAUACCCAGACAAACUGGGCAGAGAUAAGGCAUCUUUUCCAUUUGGUUUUUUUUUUUUCUUCUGCUGUCCAUUCUCCAACCUUUUUUUUUUUUUUUAAAUGUAAAACAGUUAUUCUCUCAUCUGUCCAGUGCAACAUCCUCUAGGAUAUUUGUGGUCUUCCAGAAAAGGUAGACAGGACUGGAAUAACUAAUGCCAAAAAACUGCCCACGGCAAGGGAGGGAAAUCCUUGUUUUCAAGACAAAACCCUAUCCAGGCCUUUUUCAGACACCCCUCAGCACACCACAAGGGUAUAAAUCCCGACUUUUUCUUUUCCAGGUGAUCUUUCAGGCCAAGUAGCAGAGGGCAGGGGUCUGCCCUCCCGGCGGGGCUCAGCCCCGGCACAGCCGGGGUUCCGCAGGUCCAAGCCCCCGGCACCAAGCUGACUUUUACCAGUAAAUAUCGGUUUAUUCCUGAAACCAGAAGCCCUAAACAUACCUUUGUUUAUAAGUUUUCCUGCUCUGCAUCUCUGGGAACUGGAGCCCGCAGGACCUAGAGCCUUCUGUUGGUAACGUAGACCCGAGUUUACAAAUUAUUCUUUUACCAUUUUAAAUCCUGCUUUUAAGGACAGAGGUGUUCCCUCCUGCCCACCACGGGAAGUGGUAGAAACCCCUGCAAAUGCCCAAAUUGCUCCUCCUCUCCGAAGCCUGCGGCCUGGGUGGUUCUGAUUGCUGGCAGUUCUGUAAUACAACCUUAAUCUGAGCAGUUGAGGCUGGUCCUACCUUAUCUUCAGACGUCUUGCGGAGGACUCCUGUUACCAGUUUGGUACUCAAAAGCUACACCCCACCAUCAGAAGUCACUUUUUGUUUUUUUCCAAAGGCAGUGAUAGCUCACCCUCUCUAGCUCUAAUGGAAAACAUGAUAAUUGCAAUGCAACUUUCUAAUAAAUUGUUCAUAUAUUCAUAAUUCCGUUGCAAUCCCAAAUUGGAGAAGAGAUCUGUUAAAGUGCACUGGUGUACCAAGGCUCAGAACCACUGCUUUCUCCAGCUCAUAGGAUGCUUUUCCAGACUGUGGAUACGUGUAUGUGUACUGCUGUGUUGAUAAGUAAAAACCAACGAUGGAGUUCGUUGCUUUUAUACAUCCCAAAGAGAAGUUCUCCACCGUUCCCUGUCUGUUUUCUGACCGAAAAGGCGUGUUUGUGAACAGUGUUCACGCGAGCUCUGCCAUCCCACCCUCACAUCAGCUCACACCAAUGCCAGGAUGGGAGGAGUUGCCAGCGGACCUUCCCCAAAAACACCCCGGGCCCGCAGUGGCAUCGUCAGGGAGCAGUUCAAACCUGUGUCCUUUGGGCUUUGUGUAAAGCAAACGCAGAACGAGAAAAAAAUCGAGAUGUUAAAUCCAUUAGAGAACCAAUUCCUUAUUGUACAGUAGUAUGGAGAUCUCUAGUCAACCUGCCAUUAAUAAUAGAUUCUUAUUUUUUGAAUGAUCUAUUUAAAAGAACAGCAAGCAUUGUAUUUGCUAGUAAAUCUGAAGUGUUUACAUGGAAUUACUAAAUAAAUUAUUUGAUCUAA